rnacentral:rRNA from 1 species
CCUACGUGAUGCAGCAGUGAGGAAUAUUGGUCAAUGGGCGGAAGCCUGAACCAGCCAAGUCGCGUGAGGGAUUAAGGCCCUGCGGGUCGUAAACCUCUUUUGCCGGGGAGCAGUGGUCCGGACGCGUCCGGACCGGGAGAGUACCCGGAGAAAAAGCAUCGGCUAACUCCGUGCCAGCAGCCGCGGUAAUACGGAGGGAGCAAGCGUUAUCCGGAUUUACUGGGUGUAAAGGGCGUGUAGGCGGGCAUGCAAGCCAGAAGUGAAAUCUGGGGGCUUAACCCCCAAACUGCUUUUGGAAGUGCGUGUCGUGAGUGAUGGAGAGGCAGGCGGAAUUCCCAGUGUAGCGGUGAAAUGCGUAGAUAUUGGGAGGAACACCAGGGGCGAAGGCGGCCUGCUGGACAUUAACUGACGCUGAGGCGCGAAAGCGUGGGGAGCAAACAGGAUUAGAUACCCGAGUAGUC